AUGGACGGCCUCCACAAGGAGCUCGCGCUGGGGCUGAUCGGCGAGCUCCAGACGGCGCCGUUCGUGGCCAAGACGUACCAGAUGGUGAGCGACCCUAGGACGGACGCGCUCGUCAGGUGGGGGAGGGACAACAACAGCUUCCUCGUCACCGACGUCGCCGGCUUCUCGCAGCUCCUCCUCCCAUGCUUCUUCAAGCACGGCAACUUCUCCAGCUUCAUCCGCCAGCUCAACUCAUACGGCUUCCGGAAGGUGCACCCGGACCGAUGGGAGUUCGCGCACGAAUCGUUCCUGCGCGGCCAGAUGUACCUUCUGUCGCGCAUCGAAGUGGAGGAGGAAGAGGACGACGAGGGGAGGGAGGCGCUGCUCGAGGAGGUUCGGAGACUGCGGCAUGAGCAGACGGCUAUCGGGGAGCAGCUGGCGCAGAUGGCCCGGCGACUACAGGCGACGGAGCGGCGGAGUGACCGGCUCAUGCCCUUAAUUGCCCGGCUCGACGAGGAUCCCAGGGCCACCUCCCUCCACCUUCUCCAACAGGCGGCCGAGAAGAAGCUCCAGCGCAUGCACUUGCCUUCCCGUGAUUUUGCUUCCUUUCCCAUUGCACCCCCGCUUCACUCGGCGCCUUCACCGCUCUUGGCUCUCGGCGACACGGCCAUGAGCGGAGCUAGAGUCUGGCAGUGGGCAGAGCCGAUGUCGCCACUGAAACUCACAACCUUCGAGCAGCCCUCCGCGAGCUCCGGGGUGCAGCAGGUGCCGGAGUUCGAGGCCGGCGGCAGCGGCAUGGGACUAACUGACAGUGGGACCGCGGUGGAGACCCCCUUCCCGUUCUGCCUACUUGGUCAGUGUUUCUUCUAA
rnacentral:rRNA from 1 species